CGACUCGGCCCCCGGGGGCGCUCACCAUAGGGCCUCCAGCGCCAGCUGACGGGGCUUGAACCCGCCGCGGGCGUCUAGUCUCUAGCGAGGCGGGGUCUUCGGCUGCCCCCGCGCGGCCUGCUGUGCCCGGGGCUUGAGUCCCUGGCAGGGGUCCGCGCACCUGGAGCCCUAACACACCUGCUGGCCCUAAAGCCCUCCGAGCGAGAGGGCAGCCUGCGCCGCUCUUUCUGCGAAGGGCGAAGUCUCAGACACCUUGAGGGCCGGCCCUUUAGCGCCUGCCCAGUGAGUGGGAAACGGGAGCCCCUCCGAGGCUAUGCCCGUCAUGUCAUGGACCAGGUGCCCAGUACCUCUCAGGCUUGGCCAGGCCUCGCUAGGGUUGUGCCACAGACGGUCCCAGCGCCCACACCGGCCAGAGGCUGUUGUCCUGGCUGGGGGUAUUGAAUAGGGCACUAGAGCCUCCUCCCCUGGGGUGGGCCUGGCCCUGCCUAAGACCAGGGCCUUGACUGGGUACCCUGUCCUCUGGGCCAGCUUUAUCCGCCCACCACACAGGGAACCCCUCAUUGUGCCAGUAACUGCCCAGCGCCCCCUCAUUGUGCCAGUAACUGCCGUUGGUUGCUGGGGAAGGGCGGCCCUGAGAGUGCGGGGUCCCGCGAGCCAGAGGGUCCUGCUACAGCCGUCAGGGAGGAGGCCUGCCAGGGCCGGCCCCGCUCCCCACACGCCGCCCAGCCUCAGUACAGCCCCAGGCCCUCCCCAGCCCCUCAUCCCAGCGGCGCAAGGCCAGGGGGCACCAUUGCUUGAAGCUGCUUCCCCUGACGCCCGAGCCCUUUGGGGGCUGGGAGCCCAGGAAAUGCCUCCAGACCUGUCCACGAGAUAAGAGCGGCCCUGGGCUGGGGGUGGGGAGGGUCAGGCACCUGCCGGAGGAUCUGGCUGGGCCCUGAGCUGUCAACCCCCGUCCCCGGUGAGCCUGUGAGCCCCGAGAGAGAAGUAAGGCUGACCCAGCCUCAAUCUGACGGCCUGCCCCCCGGAGUCAGCAUUCCAAAGUCGCCACGGCCGCAGAUGCUAGUGUUUAUCUUCAGGAAAAUACAAUGAAGCUGAUGGAGGUUUCCGAAGCUCUGUGCGCCCCUUCCCCGGGUCGUCACCUGGCCUGCGGUUACUGUGCCCACGGCGGGCAGUGACCACAAAAUGUGGAACCAGGCGGUCCCCAGGAUAUCCCGCAAGGUCCCGAGGCCGUGGCCCCAGCUGUCCUGGAGGGCUGGCUGGGGGAGUCACCCGCCCCCAGCCUCACUCUGGACGCUCCGCUGGCCUGAGCCCUCCUCCCUAGCAGAGACUGCCCAGUGCUGUGAACACCUGUCCACCCUCGGCCCCCUAAGGGCAGGGGACCUAGUCGGUGCUUGGUAAGCGUGCGCUGGCCAGGGCUGGGGUGGGCUUGGAGGGCCCACCCUGACACCUCCAUGGGGGCCAGUGAGUUCAGACAGUUGGGUCCCAGCACUCCCCGCCCCAGUGACAAGGCUAACGACAUGUGACAUGUCCCGCCUCCGAGCGCUGGGAGUGGCAGUCCCACACAGCUCAUGUCACUUGGUACGGCAGUAGUGGCUACCCUUAGCUGGCGCCAAGGGCUGCCUGAUGGUUUUGUGCAGCCCCUUGGUGGGCCUCACCUGUUGUGGGGAUGGAGCUCACGCACCUCGGGGAGGAGGCGGAGUCGGACUGGCCCUCCUCCAGCUGCCUGCCUUUCUCUUUGCUUCCCUUCCCGGCUCCCUGCCCUUCCUUCUAUUUCUCCAAAGGCCAUGGGGACAUCUCCCCUCUUGGCUUUGUUAGGGCAGGGAGCUGACCGUUUCUGAGUCCGUGAGUCUGAAUUUGGUCAAGGGUGGUGCCCAUUGGCUCACUGGCCUGCCAGUCCCAAGAGCGGCUGGGGCUCCUCCCCCCAGCCAGGGACAGACCUUGGGGAGGACAGCGGGGGGCGGGGCUGGGAGUCAGAGAAGGCCCCUCGUCCUCCACCCCGAGGGGCCCUGAGGCUUGCAAACAUCUGCCUGAGUACAAUAACCGAGCUCUACUUUUGUAAUUAAAAAUAUAUCCGAAGAGAAAAAGGAAA